GAAGUGCGAAAAGUGUCAUGACUUGCAGAGUCUCUUUGAGCUGACAAAUUUCUGAAUGCAAAUGGCAGUCGGCGCAAGAUCCGGCUAUGUAUUGUAGAGUGUAGAUGCUCCAGCACAUCAUCACUCAUUAUCCUCUUUCGAGAGAAUAAUCGAGUGGACCUGCGUUUGUGGCGCUAAGUGCUACGAAUCGUCAAAUCAAAAGACGACGCUUCUCAGCUUUUGUGUUCUCCUUCACCGGAGGGCGCGACUGUUGUGUGGCGCACAUCGUUGGACUUUAAACCCCCAUGCGAUUGUGUUGCGUACCCUCCUGUACGUGUCUGUCUAUAACCCCCUCAUUAAUAUCAAUGAGCCACCUCUACAAUGCAGGAUAACCCGCUGAACUUAA
rnacentral:misc_RNA from 1 species